GGCGCCCCGGCUCCGCUGCCCUGAGGCUGCGGCCCCGCAAACUCCUCCCCGUGGUGACAGAGCGGAGGGUCCCGCAAAAGCCCCGGGAGCUGCCCAGGGAUCCCCUCGGAGCCGCGACCCAAGGGAGGGAGCGAGUCCCGCCGUCGGUCCCUCUGCCGGGUACCGGCACCGCAGCUUCCCCAGGAGGAGGGAGACGAGGCUGGAGGAGGCUGCGGGCGGGGCCCAGGGUGGGUUCCUAACGGCGGGGGGUUCCCAGAACUGACGCGGGGCGGGCGGAGGGACGGAGCCUCCGUGGGUCACCCCUAAAACCAGCCCACAGGAGGCAGUCCUAAGAUGGGGGGCCUGCCCUGUGCUGCCCCCACCGGGUUCCAUCAGGAGACCCCCUCCCGACCGACACUGAGACCCAGACGGAAGCCACCCGCUUCCUCAUUCAUUCAGUCACUCAUUCACUCAUUCUUCCCCGGAGAUCCAGUGGAGAAGGGGGAACUCCGGCCGCUCGGCGGCUUCAUGCGGCGGGGGGGAAGGACGCGGACCCUAAACAUCUGGACGCUUCGCGGACCUGGCCGCGAAGCGGAGAUUUCAAAUGGGAGUCUACAGAAAUUUAUACCCAAGUGAUUUUCUCCGAACACAAAGCAUCUGCCCAAAUAGAUGUGGACUGCCAAGAUGGCGUGGUAGGAGCAAAUCAGGAUUGCAGCUCUCAGUGAAGACGCAGAGGGUGGGUUCAAUCCGCAUUUCCAGAUGGAUCUUUUUUGCCCACAGAACGGGGAAAUUCCCAGGUAUAGGAGAGACACAGGAU